AGCAAGCGUCCUCCCCACCAUGGGGCAGACCUGCCAGCGAGGAUGGGGCACAGAAACUGAAAAUUCAAUCCGGCCUCCACUUACUGAAAAUAAGG